GUAGGGAAUAUUGGGCAAUGGAAGGAAUUCUGACCCAGCCAUGCCGCGUGCAGGAAUACAGUCCUAUGGACUUUAAACUGCUUUUAUUAUAGAGUAACCUGGGGGACGUGUCCCCCACUGCAAGUAUAUAAUGAAUAAGCAUCGGCUAACUCCGUGCCAGCAGCCGCGGUAAUAAGGGGGAUGCAAGCGUUAUCCGGAUUUAUUGGGUUUAAAGGGUGCGCAGGCUGAUCGGUAAGUCAUGGGUGAAAAGUCACUGCUUAACAGUGAUCGUGCCUAUAAUACUGCCGGACUAGAGUUUAAGAGGUGUAACUGGAAUGUGAUGUGUAGCGGUGAAAUGCUUAGAUAUGUCACAGAACGCCAAUCGUGAAGACAGGUUACAAACUUAAUACUGACGCUCAUGCACGAAAGCGUGGGGAUCAAACAGGAUUAGAAACCCGAGUAGUCC
rnacentral:rRNA from 1 species